GGACUACUGGGGUUUCUAAUCCUUUUUGCUCCCCACGCUUUCGUCUCUCAGUGUCAGGGUCGCCCCAGCUAACUGCCUUCGCUUUUGGUGUUCCCGACGAUAUCAACGGAUUUCACCCCUACUUCGUCGGUUCCGUUAGCCUCUAACGCCCUCUCAGUAGAGCAGUAUUGGAAACAUCUCAAAGGUUAAGCCGAUGAGUUUUAAUUGCCAACUUACUCCACCACCUACAGACCCUUUACGCCCAAUAAAUCCGGGUAACGCUCGGGGAUUCUGUAUUACCGCGGCUGCUGGCAC
rnacentral:rRNA from 1 species